rnacentral:rRNA from 1 species
GGGCCCGCACAAGCGGUGGAGCAUGUGGCUCAAUUCGAUGCAACGCGAAGAACCUUACCAGGGUUUGACAUGUGGCUGGAUGCCCUCCGAAAGGAGGGAGGCUUUCGAGGCUGCCACACAGGUGCUGCAUGGCUGUCGUCAGCUCGUGCCGUGAGGUGUUAGGUUAAGUCCUGCAACGAGCGCAACCCUUGUGAUUAGUUGCUACGUUCGGUGAUGAAUCGGACAGCACUCUAGUCAGACUGCCUGUGAAAAGCAGGAGGAAGGUGGGGAUGACGUCAAGUCAGUAUGGUCCUUAUAUCCUGGGCUGCACACGUGCUACAAUGACUGGUACAGAAGGACGCAAGACCGCGAGGUGGAGCAAAUCCCCAAAACCAGUCCCAGUUCAGAUUGAAGUCUGCAACUCGACUUCAUGAAGCCGGAAUCGCUAGUAAUGGCGCAUCAGCUACGGCGCCGUGAAUACGUUCCCGGGCCUU